AGACUCCACACACUUUUGAAAAGAACCCAGGCUGCCACCAGAACCCUUUUCUAAGGGAGCUGGGCUACUAUGCCUGAAUCCCACAGUAAAUAAAGGGUUGAGAAGAAAAGAAUUUUUAACGUCACAUUACCAAAACUCCUGGCCCCCAGAUGGCUGAUGCUAACAGAUCCUCUGUAUUGCAACGGAUGAAGAUGAGCCCUGGGCGGCCUUUGUCAACGGAUGAAGAUGAGCCCUGGGCGGCCUUUGUCAACGGAUGAAGAUGAGCCCUGGGCGGCCUUUGUCAAUGGAUGAAGAUGAGCCCUGGGCGGCCGUUGUGGAGACGGUCAUCACUGUGACUGUUUUUGCGCUGGUUGUUGUGGUUGUUGGCACCUGUAUUCAUCCCCUCACCCGUUCCUGGAUGAACAGCCCAGAAGUGGAUUUGGAUUUUUGAUUUGAAACGCCAAAUGGGCGAAUAAAAUAUAACUCUCACCCACUCACGUUGUCUCUCAGAAUAAAUUGUAACAUGCAAGUUUCAAUUAAGUUUCUUGUGACCUCAUGUUGACUAAAUAUAAGGGUUUUCUUUUCCCAACGUUAGCGGGUCAUAUGUAGUCAGUCUUUGUCCUUCAGAUGGUUGUGUGCACUUUAUUGGAGGGAUUUCUAUUUUGUUGACUGUGUUGCAAUGCCCCUCCCACCCCCACCUACUCCAGCAGCCUGUAGAGCAGACAGGAGUCUGCACGGAGUCCUUUUUGCCCUGGAUUUCUUGUGCUCUUGAUCUGGUGUUCCUCUUAAUACCUCAUCUCCUUCCUUUUCAACUUAAUUAAUCCUCCAUCUCUUGCCUCAUAGUCCCUGUGUCCUUCCUCUUAUUCCUGUGGGGUCACAUGGUGAAAGCCUAGCUGUUACCAUGGCUCCAAGCUGUGCUUUCUCUC
ensembl:lncRNA